rnacentral:tRNA from 1 species
GCAUCGGUAGUUCAAUGGCGAAAAUGCUCGCCUGCCACGCGGGCGGCCCGGGUUCCGAUUCACGGCCGAUGCA